UACCUACGGGAGGCAGCAGUAGGGAAUCUUCCACAAUGGACGAAAGUCUGAUGGAGCAACGCCGCGUGAGUGAAGAAGGGUUUCGGCUCGUAAAGCUCUGUUGGUAGUGAAGAAAGAUAGAGGUAGUAACUGGCCUUUAUUUGACGGUAAUUACUUAGAAAGUCACGGCUAACUACGUGCCAGCAGCCGCGGUAAUACGUAGGUGGCAAGCGUUGUCCGGAUUUAUUGGGCGUAAAGCGAGUGGAGGCGGGUGAAAAAGUCU
rnacentral:rRNA from 1 species